UGAGGAAUAUUGGUCAAUGGACGGAAGUCUGAACCAGCCAAGUAGCGUGCAGGAAGACGGCCCUAUGGGUUGUAAACUGCCUUUGUAUGGGGAUAAAGUCAAUCACGUGUGAUUGUUUGCAGGUACCAUACGAAUAAGGACCGGCUAAUUCCGUGCCAGCAGCCGCGGUAAUACGGAAGGUUCGGGCGUUAUCCGGAUUUAUUGGGUUUAAAGGGAGCGUAGGCCGGAGAUUAAGUGUGUUGUGAAAUGUAGACGCUCAACGUCUGACUUGCAGCGCAUACUGGUUUCCUUGAGUACGCACAACGUUGGCGGAAUUCGUCGUGUAACGGUGAAAUGCUUAGAUAUGACGAAGAACUCCGAUUGCGAAGGCAGCUGACGGGAGCGCAACUGACGCUGAAGCUCGAAGGUGCGGGUAUCGAACAGGAUUAGAUACCCUGGUAGUCCGCACAGUAAACGAUGGAUGCCCGCUGUUGGUACCUAGUAUCAGCGGCUAAGCGAAAGCAUUAAGCAUCCCACCUGGGGAGUACGCCGGCAACGGUG
rnacentral:rRNA from 1 species